GCAUUAUACAGCGAAACUGCGAAUGGCUCAUUAAAUCAGUUAUCGUUUAUUUGAUAGUACCUUACUACUUGGAUAACCGUGGUAAUUCUAGAGCUAAUACAUGCUAAAAAUCCCGACUUCGGAAGGGAUGUAUUUAUUAGAUUAAAAACCAAUGCCCUUCGGGGCUCACUGGUGAUUCAUGAUAACUUCUCGAAUCGCAUGGCCUUGCGCCGGCGAUGGUUCAUUCAAAUUUCUGCCCUAUCAACUUUCGACGGCUGGGUCUUGGCCAGCCAUGGUGACAACGGGUAACGGAGGGUUAGGGCUCGACCCCGGAGAAGGAGCCUGAGAGACGGCUACUACAUCCAAGGAAGGCAGCAGGCGCGCAAAUUACCCAAUCCCGACACGGGGAGGUAGUGACGAUAAAUACUGAUACAGGGCUCUUUUGGGUCUUGUAAUUGGAAUGAGUACAAUUUAAAUCCCUUAACGAGGAACAAUUGGAGGGCAAGUCUGGUGCCAGCAGCCGCGGUAAUUCCAGCUCCAAUAGCGUAUAUUAAAGUUGUUGCAGUUAAAAAGCUCGUAGUUGAACCUUGGGCCUGGCUGGCCGGUCCGCCUCACCGCGUGCACUGGUCCGGCCGGGCCUUUCCCUCUGGGGAGCCGCAUGCCCUUUACUGGGCGUGUCGGGGAACCAGGACUUUUACUUUGAAAAAAUUAGAGUGUUCAAAGCAGGCCUAUGCUCGAAUACAUUAGCAUGGAAUAAUAAAAUAGGACGCGCGGUUCUAUUUUGUUGGUUUCUAGGACCGCCGUAAUGAUUAAUAGGGACAGUCGGGGGCAUCAGUAUUCAAUUGUCAGAGGUGAAAUUCUUGGAUUUAUUGAAGACUAACUACUGCGAAAGCAUUUGCCAAGGAUGUUUUCAUUAAUCAGGAACGAAAGUUAGGGGAUCGAAGACGAUCAGAUACCGUCGUAGUCUUAACCAUAAACUAUGCCGACUAGGGAUCGGACGAUGUUAUUUUUUGACUCGUUCGGCACCUUACACGAAAGUACAAGUUCUGGGUC
rnacentral:rRNA from 1 species